ACCCUCCCCAGAUGUUUUCCAGGAGUGGCUGCUAUGUCACAUAUGAGUCAGUAGGUGGCAGAGAGGAGACAGGCUAUGUUGAAUCUCAGGGUUCUGACCUAUGAACCGAGAAUUUAGUAAUCUACCAUU